GACGUAGGGGGCGAGCGUUGUCCGGAUUUAUUGGGCGUAAAGCGCGCGUAGGCGGCCGCGCAAGUCGGAUGUGAAAUCCGGGGCUCAACCCCGGACUUGCAGUGGGUACGGGCAGACUAGAGUGUGGUAGGGGAGAUCGGAAUUCCAGGUGUAGCGGUGAAAUGCGUAGAUAUCUGGAGGAAUACCGGUGGCGAAGGCGGCGAUCCUAGGACCGGCAUUGACGGCUGAGGAGCGAAAGCUAGGGGAGCAAACGGG
rnacentral:rRNA from 1 species